rnacentral:rRNA from 1 species
AUUGAACGCUGGCGGCAGGCCUAACACAUGCAAGUCGAACGAGUGGCGGACGGGUGAGUAAUUUCUGGGAAACUGCCUGAUGGAGGGGGCUAACUACUGGAAACGGUAGCUAAUACCGCAUACAAUCAGAUGUGCCCAGGUGGGCUGAGCUAGUUGGUGGGGUAACGGCUCACCAAGGCGACGAUGCCUAGCUGGGCUGAGAGGAUGACCAGCGACACUGGAACUGAGACACGGUCCAGACGCCUACGGGAGGCAGCAGGAGGGAAUAGUGCACAAUGGUCGCAAGCCUGAUGCAGCCAUGCCGCGUGGAUGAAGAAGGCCUUCGGGUUGUAAAGUACUUUCAGCGGGGAGGCGGUACCCGCAGAAGAAGCACCGGCUAACUCCGUGCCAGCAGCCGCGGUAAUAC